rnacentral:rRNA from 1 species
AUUGAACGCUGGCGGCAUGCCUUACACAUGCAAGUCGAGCGGCAGCACGGGUGCUUGCACCUGGUGGCGAGUGGCGAACGGGUGAGUAAUACAUCGGAACGUACCUUAUCGUGGGGGAUAACGCAGCGAAAGCUGUGCUAAUACCGCAUACGCCCUGAGGGGGAAAGCGGGGGAUCGCAAGACCUCGCGCGAUUAGAGCGGCCGAUGCCUGAUUAGCUUGUUGGUGGGGUAAAAGCCCACCAAGGCGACGAUCAGGAGCUGGUCUGAGAGGACGAUCAGCCACACUGGGACGAGUACACGGCCCAGACUCCUACGGGAUGCAGCAGUGGGGAAUUUUGGACCAUGGGGGCAACCCUGAUCCAGCAAUGCCGCGUGAGUGAAGAAGGCCUUCGGGUUGUAAAGCUCUUUUGUCAGGGAAGAAACACCGGCUCUAACACAGUCCGGGAAUGACGGUACCUGAAGAAUAAGCACCGGCUAACUACGUGCCAGCCGCCGCCGUAA